rnacentral:rRNA from 1 species
AUAAUAAUUAGUCUUUUAAUUGAAGGCUAGAAUGAAUGAUUGAAUGAGGUAAUUACUGUCUCAUAAAAAUUUUUAUUGAAUUUAAUUUUUAAGUUAAAAAGCUUAAAUUUUAUUAAAGGACGAGAAGACCCUAUAGAGCUUUAUAUUAAAUUUUAUUAAUAAUUUAAAUUUUUAUUAUAAGUAAAUUUAAUAUUUUAUUGGGGCGAUAGGAAAAUUAAAAUAACUUUUUUAUAUUAAAUACAUUAAUUUAUGAAUUAUUGAUCCUUUUUAUUAAAGAUUAUUAGAUUAAGUUACCUUAGGGAUAACAGCGUUAUUUUUUUUUAGAGUUCAUAUUGAUAAAAAAGAUUGC